rnacentral:misc_RNA from 1 species
AACGCACCUUGCACUGUAGGAGUCAAUCCUACAGUAUACCUGUUUGAGUAUCAUUUACAUCUAUCCAAUUCUACUCUAUUGUAUGUAUUGGGAGUUGAGGGUUUCGGGAACAUGGUGUGUGUGCAUGCGUGCAUGUAUACAGACAGUGUGCUCCUGGUCUCUUUAAAUGCAGCAGGGACCAAGGAUAGGCGCGCCCAAUUCUUGAAUGAGGAUAUUUGCUCUUGUGGUAAAGCAGUCAUGAAGGAACAGGCAAGCGAUAUUUGUUUUGGGCCCUUUAAGCAGCAGCAGCAGCAUUGCCAAUCCAAAGGCUUCUGGAAACAGAAGCUCUGGCUGACAAGCAGCAGCAGCAGCAGCGACACGUACAAUCGUGAUCUCAAAUCAGGCAAGACUACCCGCCGAACUUAA